CAUUAAGUGGCUGAAAGUGUCAAGCAUUGGUCUCUUAAACCAAAUUAUAGUAUAUUUUAACAAAUACUCUUAAUG
rnacentral:tRNA from 1 species